AAGUAAGUGCACAUGAGUAGAUGCCAAGACCAAGUCGACAGCUUUUGAAAACUCAUUAGUCAUUACAAUACGCCAACGAUAUGGGACUCUUUUAUAGCCCACAAUAACUAGAUCCUACUACGUCGCAAUUGGAUUUGAUAAUUUGGUAUAACCGGCUCAGUUUCAAAUUCGAUAAGGCCAAUAAUUCAGCGAGGUAGAGUUUAAAAUUGUUCAAAAUUUCUAGAAGUUUGAACAGUGAGUUGCGUAUUUAAUGGGUUAAAUUGAAAAAUCAUUAGUUUAGGCUAUUUAUGUGUAAAACUGAAAACGUUGAGGUUUCAUUUUAUAAUUUCAAAACUUGAGAUCAUUUAACUCACUACAAAAGGAAAGGCAAAGGUGGGCCACGAGUCCACGACGAAGACAAGCCCAAGAAUAAAACAAAAGGCUCAUCUACAAGUGUCUUACCCGCGCAACGGUAGGUCGUGUUUUGAAAUCAGAGAAUGGAGGAGUCAACAAAAGCAAAGGACAGAUGACGUCGGAGUGACAAUGGGGUGAAGCUGUACGUACAAACAGAUUUUCAGCCAUUGAUUCUUUGAAUGGAGUGUUGUGAUUGAGCCAUCUGUCUAUGAGCUCUAGCUAUGGCUUUCAAGAUUGUGUAUAAAUUAAAUAUGAACUCUCUUUGUAAACGUUUUUGAGUUAAAAGAGGAAAUACAAUUGAGAGAAGAAGAAGCAGCCAUGGAGAAGGACAGAGAAAAACAAAUAUACUUGGCGAAGCUCUCCGAGCAAACCGGACGAUACGAUGGUGCUGUUGCCGCUGCAGAGACUGGUUUGGCACCCACACAUCCACUUAGACUUGGCCUAGCAUUGAAUUUUUCUGUUUUCUACCAUGAGAUCUUAAACUCUCCUCAAAGAUUUGGAAAUUAUUUUAACACUUACAACAUAAUAAUCGCUUGUGUCACACUUUCUCAACAGUUUGAAACUAUGUGUUUGUUUUGUACAGUGCAAUCCAAUUGACUAAGCAAGCAUUGGAUGAUGCAAUCGCUGAGCUUGAAAGCCUUAACGAGGAACCAUACAAUCUCCUUUUUCUUACGUUGAAUGGUUUUGUAUCUGUAAUCUUUUUUUUAUCUCAAGUCUUUCUUGAUGUUGUUUUCCGGUCAUUGACGUUCUAUAACAUAAAACAUUGCCUA